UCGAACGAUGAAGCCCUUCGGGGUGGAUUAGUGGCGAACGGGUGAGUAACACGUGGGCAAUCUGCCCUUCACUCUGGGACAAGCCCUGGAAACGGGGUCUAAUACCGGAUAACACUCCUGCCUGCAUGGGCGGGGGUUAAAAGCUCCGGCGGUGAAGGAUGAGCCCGCGGCCUAUCAGCUUGUUGGUGGGGUAAUGGCCCACCAAGGCGACGACGGGUAGCCGGCCUGAGAGGGCGACCGGCCACACUGGGACUGAGACACGGCCCAGACUCCUACGGGAGGCAGCAGUGGGGAAUAUUGCACAAUGGGCGAAAGCCUGAUGCAGCGACGCCGCGUGAGGGAUGACGGCCUUCGGGUUGUAAACCUCUUUCAGCAGGGAAGAAGCGAAAGUGACGGUACCUGCAGAAGAAGCGCCGGCUAACUACGUGCCAGCAGCCGCGGUAAUACGUAGGGCGCAAGCGUUGUCCGGAAUUAUUGGGCGUAAAGAGCUCGUAGGCGGCUUGUCACGUCGGAUGUGAAAGCCCGAGGCUUAACCUCGGGUCUGCAUUCGAUACGGGCUAGCUAGAGUGUGGUAGGGGAGAUCGGAAUUCCUGGUGUAGCGGUGAAAUGCGCAGAUAUCAGGAGGAACACCGGUGGCGAAGGCGGAUCUCUGGGCCAUUACUGACGCUGAGGAGCGAAAGCGUGGGGAGCGAACAGGAUU
rnacentral:rRNA from 1 species